AAAUUGAAGAGUUUGAUCAUGGCUCAGAUUGAACGCUGGCGGCAGGCCUAACACAUGCAAGUCGAGCGGAAACGAGUUAACUGAACCUUCGGGGAACGUUAACGGCGUCGAGCGGCGGACGGGUGAGUAAUGCCUAGGAAAUUGCCCUGAUGUGGGGGAUAACCAUUGGAAACGAUGGCUAAUACCGCAUAAUGCCUUCGGGCCAAAGAGGGGGACCUUCGGGCCUCUCGCGUCAGGAUAUGCCUAGGUGGGAUUAGCUAGUUGGUGAGGUAAGGGCUCACCAAGGCGACGAUCCCUAGCUGGUCUGAGAGGAUGAUCAGCCACACUGGAACUGAGACACGGUCCAGACUCCUACGGGAGGCAGCAGUGGGGAAUAUUGCACAAUGGGCGCAAGCCUGAUGCAGCCAUGCCGCGUGUAUGAAGAAGGCCUUCGGGUUGUAAAGUACUUUCAGCAGUGAGGAAGGUGGUGUAGUUAAUAACUGCAUCA
rnacentral:rRNA from 1 species